UACGGGGGGUGCGAGCGUUGUCCGGAAUCACUGGGCGUAAAGUGUGCGCAGGCGGCAGAGCAAGUCGAGUGUGAAAGCCCCGGGCUUAACUUGGGAAUUGCGCUCGAAACUACUUUGCUGGAGUGUGGCAGAGGAAGGUGGAAUUCCACGUGUAGCGGUGAAAUGCGUAGAGAUGUGGAGGAACACCAAUGGCGAAGGCAGCCUUCUGGGCCAACACUGACGCUCAUGCACGAAAGCGUGGGGAGCAAACAGG
rnacentral:rRNA from 1 species